UACGGGGGGGGCAAGCGUUGUUCGGAAUUACUGGGCGUAAAGCGCGUGUAGGCUGCUUCGCAAGUCGGGUGUGAAAGCCCUGGGCUCAACCUAGGAAGUGCACUCGAAACUGCGAAGCUUGAGUCCUGGAGAGGAAGGCGGAAUUCUCGGUGUAGAGGUGAAAUUCGUAGAUAUCGAGAGGAACACCGGUGGCGAAGGCGGCCUUCUGGACAGUGACUGACGCUGAGACGCGAAAGCGUGGGGAGCAAACAGG
rnacentral:rRNA from 1 species